UCAGUCUGCUCUUCCCUGGAUGAACCAGGCCCAGCUCCUGCAAUCUCUCCUCAUAAGACAGAUGCUUCAGGCCCCUGAUCAUCCCUGUGGCCUCUGCUGGACACUCUCCAGUAGCUCCUUGCCUGUCUUGUGCUGAGAAGCUCAGAACUGCACACAGUGCUCUGGAUGGGGCCUCAUCAGGGCAGGGUAGAGGGGGACGAUCACCUCCCUUGACCUCCUGCCACACUCCUGAUGUACCCCACGGUACUCCUGUCCCUCCUGACCCAAGGGCACAAACUGCCAGCUCAUGGUCAACUCAUCAUCCACCAACACUUCCAGGUCCUUCUCAGCUGAACUGCUCUCUGGUGGGUCAGCCCUCAACCUGUGCUGGUACCUGGGGCUCUUCCUCCCCAGGGCAAGCACCCUACACUUACCAGAGGCUGCACCAGCCAUGGCAAACGUGACCCUGCUCCAUUAUGGAACUGUGCGGUGCUGUUUUGCUUUUGUGUUUAAUAUUGGUAAUUAUGCAAUUUCUAGACAACUUCCCUGUCAUAACUAGGGCAGCAAUGCUGACAAAACAGGCUUUAAAUAAGCACUUGUCAAAGUAACAGCUAUUUUUGUUUGCCCUAUUUAGCACCAUGUUUAAGGUCUACAUUGGAAAUCUCAGACAAUUUUAAAUACAUAGUGCAGUUACUUUAGCACUGCAUCACUAUAUUCAAAGUCCCUGGAGCUUGGAAAAUAAAAGUGCUUUAACAGAACCUUUUGGUAGUUUCUGGCUGCACAUAAAGGUUGUCGCUUUUGCAAGACCUGCUUGAGUACCAGGAAGCACAGACAAGCUUAGGGCUGAUGAGCCCUUCUUCAGGCUAUAAGGACUGCUGGGCAGAAAAGAUUCAAUACCAUGUUUUUUCCCAUUUCUGAAUCUUUCAGAGGGUUCUCCAGUGGAAAAGAAGGAACAAACCCACCAAUGCAAGACUUGGCAGUCCUGCUGUUCCUCAGGUAAGAAACAGGGAGCAAUCUCAAAACUGCUUUGUUCAUAAUUAAGAAAAGACAAGAAAUCCCUUUCCCUUCCUUCAUGAGCCCUGUCCAAAGCAAUGAUUUCCACACUCAGCCACUGGGCUGCCUUGUUUGCCCAAUGCUGGUAGCAGAGAGCAUAGAUACAACUUCAGCACAUGGUGAGAGGUUUCUUACCCAAGGUGCUGUGAAGUGGUAACUUCAAGGCCUUUCCUGGCCAUAUGGCAAAGCAGGGAUGAGCACAACCCAAAAUGCAUGGAGACUCAGUCUUCAGGAAGGAAAAGGGAGACUAGAUGCCCAGUGAUAUGAGUGUGACAGUAACUGAGGAGUGCUUCCUUCAGGAAAUAAAACUACCAGCCAAGCACAAAUGGAUUGCACAGUAACAUGUGAGAGUGAUUCCAUACUGGUUUAUUUAGGCUAUUCCUUUUUCCUUUCCCCUCUGUCUCCAGACUAUGGACUUCCUAUAGCCUGUCCCUAGGAAGUUUGUGGUGUGUUUCCAGAGAGCUUCUGGAGCUCUGCUAGGACAGCCUCACACAGUUACAUUCAAAAGGCUCUGGGGAGGAAGAAAAGGGUUCAGGAGGAUCCUUGCUACCUUUAUGCAGAUAGCAACAGGAGUAACAGCAUUUAGGAGCCCUGUGUUUUGAGCAACACCCUUGCCUUCCCUCCCUCUCAUUGCUACCAGCGGAUGCCAGAGAGACAGCCAAAGCAAACAUAACACUUGGGAAACGGUCUGUAUAUCCAAAACAAAAGAGGUUUUCUUUCAUCAGCUGUUUCCUGUUGUCAACGAGUGGAAAGCUGUUUUUGUGGAGCAACAUACUCUUGGUCAUGAAAUCGAUGAGCCCCAAUCUGAUUCUUUAGGAUGUGUUAUACUCUGAUUUCCAUCAGAGUAGCCCAAGAAGACCCAGGGGUUUCUUUGGGAAAGGGAUCCUCACAAACCCCAUGUGCACUGUGCUCAGGAGGGAAGGGAUUUACAGAUGGUGCCUCCAAUGGGAGCAGUCAGGAAGGACUUGGCAAGUCCUCACUACCUCCUUGCAAUGGCAUUGACUUGACCAGCAAAAUGAACAGAAGUCCCCAUGUCCUCACCACCAUGUUUUUAA